rnacentral:rRNA from 1 species
GAGUUUGAUCCUGGCUCAGGAUGAACGCUAGCGGCAGGCUUAACACAUGCAAGUCGAGGGGUAGAGUUAGCUUGCUAACUUGAGACCGGCGCACGGGUGCGUAACGCGUAUGCAAUCUACCUUGUACAGAGGGAUAGCCCAGAGAAAUUUGGAUUAAUACCUCAUAGUGUAACGAAAAGGCAUCUUUUUGUUACUAAAGUUCCAACGGUACAAGAUGAGCAUGCGUCCCAUUAGCUAGAUGGUAAGGUAACGGCUUACCAUGGCAACGAUGGGUAGGGGUCCUGAGAGGGAGAUCCCCCACACUGGUACUGAGACACGGACCAGACUCCUACGGGAGGCAGCAGUGAGGAAUAUUGGUCAAUGGGCGCAAGCCUGAACCAGCCAUGCCGCGUGCAGGAUGACGGUCCUAUGGAUUGUAAACUGCUUUUGUACAGGAAGAAACACUCCCUCGUGAGGGAACUUGACGGUACUGUAAGAAUAAGGAUCGGCUAACUCCGUGCCAGCAGCCGCCGCC